CUUCAAUACCCUAGGCAGACCGGACCGCCGGGUUUGUGUCUCUCCUUUAUCCUUAGCUUGCUAAGGCUUUGAGGCUCAUGUCUAGUCUAUCCUGUCCCUGCUGAGACUCCACGGAUCCUUGAGUCUCCAUGCCUCGACACCCCUGUUCUGGACUGCAUCUCCCUGCAGAAGGCGCUGGGAAAGGCCCACCAGAGUCUGGCAGCUUCUCACCUCCUCCCCAGAGAGAUGAAAUCCCUAGACUUGGCAGGAACAGUGGGCAUAUUUGGAAGAACAGUCAUCAGCAGGGUGGGUCAAGGGGCUUUUGCCCUGAAAGGAGGAAGGAGAGCCGGUCACUCAGGUGAGCGAGGUGUCAUCGUCGCUGCCCUCUCCUCCCGCACCGCCUGCCCGCUCCUCGCGGCUCUCUGUCACUGCACUCUCAUCGAUGUUCUCCAGUGAGUCUGCAUGUUGCACCGACAACUCUGACAGCGCCAGGCUGGGCAAUGGGCUCUGCUCCGGGUGCAGCCAUGGCUUGAAAUGAGGCUGGUGUUUCUGCUUCCACUCGGGGUACUUGAUGCAGGCCUUGUACAUCUUCUUCAUGGCCUGUAGACCAUUCGAACAUUGUUAGGGGUGCCUGGAGGGCCACACCCCUCCAGAGCCCUCCUGCGGUGUACAGUAGUCCCCAGUGUCCCAACUACGGCCAUGGGUAGACCUGGUUCAUCAGCCAUCACCCAGUGUUGACUCUGCCCCUGCCCUACUCCUCAGUGCUACCCCCUCCCCCAUGUCCCAGAGCACACAGCCACUUACCUUGGGGGCCAGGAACUG
rnacentral:lncRNA from 1 species